UUAAGCAUAUCACUAAGCGGAGGAAAAGAAACUAACCAGGAUUCCCUUAGUAACGGCGAGUGAACAGGGAUUAGCCCAACACUGAAGCUUGCAGUUAGUUGACUGUUAAGCAAUGUGGUGUAUAGGUCUGUUCUUUGCGUACUGCUUUAUCCCAAGUCCAAUUUCGAGUGUGGCAAAUUGAUUAGCCCAUAGAGGGUGUAAGGCCCGUGGGGAUAAAGGUCAGGUUGGACAGUAUUAGCUCGGAACAGGCCUUGGAGUCGGGUUGUUUGUGAAUGCAGCCCAAAUUUGGUGGUAAACUCCAUCUAAGGCUAAAUACUGGCACGAGUCCGAUAGCGAACAAGUACCGUGAGGGAAAGUUGAAAAGUACUUUGAAGAGAGAGUAAACAGUGCGUGAAACUGCUCAAAGGUAAACAAGUGGAGUUGAACUGGAAACUCGGGCAAUUCAGCUGGCCGGUAGUCAGUCAUAGCUUGGAAUCCGUCCAGAUUCGGACAUUCGGCUGUUGUUUUGGCAAUGGUUGGGUGAUUGCGAUGUGCCUAUCAGGUACUGCAUGUCUAAGCUUUGCUGGCUGGCUGGCCAGUGCACUUUGCUUGAGUGUUCACCACGACCGGCAUUGCUGUCUGUCUGUUCCUAUCACACUGGUCAAUUGCGGUCAUAUUGACUGUAAUUGGUUGGGUUGGCAGGUGGUUUGCUGGCUGUAGUGCUGUGCUUCGGCAUAUGCGCCGGUCAACAAACUAAAUUAGCUGAUUGGAACGGUWGUUAUUUGUGCAGUAUGCCGAUGUUUGCCAGACUGCAAUUGGCCAGUUGGCCAGGCAGCGUUAGUUUGGUUGGAGUUAUUUGCUUUGGCAAAUGCUUUGACAGCUAGCUUUGUCUGACUGAUUGCGUUGGUUGUGGUUGUUAGUCUGUGGUGUUGCGGUAGACUAUCCACUUGACCCGUCUUGAAACACGGACCAAGGAGUUUAACAUGCAUGCAAGUCAUUGGGCGUUACGAAACCCAUAGGCGCAGUGAAAGUAAAAUGCUGGCUACAAUAGUAGCACAGAUAAGGUGAGAUCUUGUUGCGCGUUUGUUUUUUGUGAACAAGCGUCAGCGCAAGCGCAUCACCGGCCCGUCGUACAACGUUUAUAGCAUACCGGCGGAGCUAGAGCAUGCAUGUUGAGACCCGAAAGAUGGUGAGCUAUGCUUGCGCAGGUUGAAGCCAGAGGAAACUCUGGUGGAGGACCGCAGCGAUUCUGACGUGCAAAUCGAUCGUCAAACGUGAGUAUAGGGGCGAAAGACUAAUCGAACCAUCUAGUAGCUGGUUCCCUCC
rnacentral:rRNA from 1 species